AACGAACGCUGGCGGCAUGCCUAAUACAUGCAAGUCGAACGAGAUCUUCGGGUCUAGUGGCGCACGGGUGCGUAAUGCGUGGGAAUCUGCCCUUUGGUUAGGAAUAACAGUUGGAAACGACUGCUAAUACCGGAUGAUGACGAAAGUCCCAAGAUUUAUCGCCAGAGGAUGAGCCCGCGUAGGAUUAGCUAGUUGGUGUGGUAAAGGCGCACCAAGGCGACGAUCCUUAGCUGGUCUGAGAGGAUGAUCAGCCACACUGGGACUGAGACAUCGCCCAGACUCCUACGUGAGGCAGCAGUGGGGAAUAUUGGACAAUGGGCGAAAGCCUGAUCCAGCAAUGCCGCGUGAGUGAUGAAGGCCUUAGGGUUGUAAAGCUCUUUUACCCGGGAUGAUAAUGACAGUACCGGGAGAAUAAGCUCCGGCUAACUCCGUGCCAGCCGCCGCAGUAA
rnacentral:rRNA from 1 species